UCAAGGAAAGAAAUGGGUCUUACUAUACAGUACAUGGAGGCAUGGCAUAUCUCUUUCAACCUUAUAUAGAAGAAGCAAUCUUUGCCCUGGGUUAAGUCUACUGGUUGUUGGAGAUCGUAAAGGUGCAGUGUUUGGUGGUUUAGUUGAGGCACCUUUGAAACCAUCAACAAAGAAAAGAUACCAGGGAUCGAAUGAUACAUUUGUGUUUACAAAUACACCAGGGCGUCCUGUUAUAUAUCGCCCCACAGGGGUGAAUCGGUAUUUUACUCUUUGUUCAACUGAGUAUUUAGCGCUUGGUGGGGGGAAAUCAUUUUGCAUUGUAUCUCGAUAGUGACUUAUUGAAUGGGUCAAGUUUGGCCUCAGAAACUUAUGGUAACUCUUGUUUGUCACACACCCAAGAAUUUGAAGUGAAGGAAAUUGAGGUGCUUUCUCUCACUUAUUUUUGCAAAAAUUACAUUUUUGGUCCUCGAGUAUGGCUGAUUUUGUUCAAUUUGGGUCCUACAAAAUUCUCUUGCAAAUUUGAUCGUUAUUUGAGGUUUUUGUAACGUUUUUACUCUUCGUUCCAAGUAAAAUGAGUUGGGACUAAAAUUGAAAAGAUCAGCAAUACUCAGGGACCAAAAAUGGUCAUCUUACUUAGAACAAGGACUGAAACUCUACAAGAAAUUUCAAAGGACCAAAAUUGUAAGAGAAU